rnacentral:rRNA from 1 species
GAUGAACGCUGGCGGCGUGCCUAAUACAUGCAAGUCGAGCGAACGGACGAGAAGCUUGCUUUUCUGAUGUUAGCGGCGGACGGGUGAGUAACACGUGGAUAACCUACCUAUAGGACUGGGAUAACUUCGGGAAACCGGAGCUAAUACCGGAUAAUAUUUUGAACCGCAUGGUUCAAAAGUGAAAGACGGUCUUGCUGUCACUUAUAGAUGGAUCCGCGCUGCAUUAGCUAGUUGGUAAGGUAACGGCUUACCAAGGCAACGAUGCAUAGCCGACCUGAGAGGGUGAUCGGCCACACUGGAACUGGGACACGGUCCAGACUCCUACGGGAGGCAGCAGUAGGGAAUCUUCCGCAAUGGGCGAAAGCCUGACGGAGCAACGCCGCGUGAGUGAUGAAGGUCUUCGGAUCGUAAAACUCUGUUAUUAGGGAAGAACAUAUGUGUAAGUAACUGUGCACAUCUUGACGGUACCUAAUCAGAAAGCCACGGCUAACUACGUG